rnacentral:rRNA from 1 species
UACGUAGGGUCCGAGCGUUUGUCCGGAAUUAUUGGGCGUAAAGGGCUCGUAGGCGGUUUGUCGCGUCGGGAGUGAAAACCUACAGCUUAACUGUGGGCUUGCUUUCGAUACGGGCAGACUUGAGGCAUGCAGGGGAGAAUGGAAUUCCUGGUGUAGCGGUGAAAUGCGCAGAGAUCGGAAAGAACACCAACGCGAAAGCAACUCUGCUGGGCCGACACUGACACUGAGAGACGAAAAGCUAGGGGGAGCGAAUGGG